CGAGGUGCCAAUGCGAAUAAUGGUUAUGUUGGAACACUUGGCAUGAUACAACAGUUUGAUCAGCUCGUGCAACAUGAUUGAAAUAGAAGGAAUGCCCAUACCGUGACUGACUGACAGAACGGGUCCCACUUUGUACAUGGCGUAACGGUCAGUUCCCGCACAGAUGUUGGGGUAGUCACCACCAGAGCUCCCAAGUCCAAGUUCUUCAGCUAUGUAGGCAAUAAAAGCUUUCAUCC
rnacentral:lncRNA from 1 species